rnacentral:rRNA from 1 species
CUUUAAAACUUAAUACUAACAGG